GGGCUUGUAGUCUAGUAGCUAUGACGUCCGCCUGACUCGCGGGAGGUCCCCGGUGCAAGUCCGGGCAGGCCCA
rnacentral:tRNA from 1 species